GGCUCCGUAGCUCAACUGAAUAGAGUAUCUGACUACGGAUCAGAAGGUUCCGGGUUUGAAUCCCAGCGGAGUCACCA
rnacentral:tRNA from 2 species